rnacentral:ncRNA from 1 species
GCAGAGUAGGUCUGUGUGCGUCAAGUGCCAGCCGGACAGGGAGUUGCCGGCAGGACGAAGGAAACGGCUUUCGAACGUCUUCCGCGGUACGCAGCCCGCAUCCCGCUGC